CCUACGGGUGGCUGCAGUCGAGAAUCAUUCACAAUGGGGGAAACCCUGAUGGUGCGACGCCGCGUGGGGGAAUGAAGGUCUUCGGAUGGUAAACCCCGGUCAUGGGGGAGCAAAUUAAAAAGAUAGUACCACAAGAGGAAGCGACGGCUAACUCUGUGCCAGCAGCCGCGGGAAUACAGAGGUCGCAAGCGUUGUUCGGAAUCACUGGGCGUAAAGCGUGCGUAGGCGGUUUCGUAAGUCGUGUGUGAAAGGCGUGGGCUCAACCCGCGGACUGCACAUGAUACUGCGAGACUAGAGUAAUGGAGGGGGAAGCGGAAUUCUCGGUGUAGCAGUGAAAUGCGUAGAGAUCGAGAGGAACACUAGUGGCGAAGGCGGGUUCCUGGACAUUAACUGACGCUGAGGCACGAAGGCCAGGGGAGCGAAAGGGAUUAGAUACCCGUGUAGUC
rnacentral:rRNA from 1 species